UGUAUUGUGGUGGAAUAAAACUUGUCCAAUAUUCUUAUACAACACAUAGUUCUAUAUUAAUACAGUGAAUCUUUGGAAAUGACAGGAACAUACGAGGCCCCUUUAAUGGAAAUGACAGGAACAUACGAGUCCCCUUUAAUCAGCACACUUAGUAACUAUACCUUUGAAUUUCGAGGGAGUUAUCGGAUUGAAUCAAAUCUGCGGUAUUGUGGUAGGUCGUGAUAAAGUGUUCAACGGCUUUAAGUGUCGGAGUGAAUCAGAUCGGUGGUAUUGUGGUAGGUCGUGAUAGAGUGUUCAGCGGCUUCAAGUGUCGGAUUGAAUCAGAUCUGCGGUAUUGUGGUAGGUCGUGAUAGUGUUUUCAGCGGCUUCAAGUGUCAGAGUGAAUCAUGUCGGUGGAGUUGUAGUAGGUCGUGAUAGAGUUUUCAGCGGCUUCAAGUGUCGGAUUGAAUCAGAUCUGCGGUAUUGUGGUAGGUCGUGAUAGAGUGUUCAGCGGCUUCAAGUGUCGGAGUCAAUCAGGUAAGUGGUAUUGUGGUAGGUCGUGAUAGAGUGUUCAGCGGCUUCAAGUGUGAAUCAGAUCGGUGGUAUUGUGGUAGGUCGUGAUAGAGUGUUCAGCGGCAUCAAGUGUGAAUCAGAUCGGUGGUAUUGUGGUAGAUCGUGAUAGAGUGUUCAGCGGCUUCAAGUAUCGGAGUUGUGGUAGGUCGUGAUAGAGUGUUCAGCGGCUUCAAGUGUCGGAGUGGAUUUUGGAACUAGACUACACAUUUUAGUUACUCACUACGCAGUUGUCCAGUCUUUGACUCACUCAUUCUUUGUCAAUCUUCACACAGGUUCUGGCAAUGGGACUUGGUUCCGACCCGACUAAAGUAUUAGAUUGCAAUGUCAAAUGUUAUAUAGUAUAGUAACUUGGGAGCAGCCAUAAGAUAGCAGUCAUUAAAUUAUAAGGUAUUGCGAGUUGUUUGUCUGCUUUUUGUAAUUCUCAUUUUAUUGAUGCAUUGCGUCGAAUAAAAUGAUGUAAAAAAAAAACAUUUAUAGUUUUCAGCAGUUGGUCAUUUAGCAUCCAUAUACAUUUCUGUUUAUUUGUCUUGAAAUUAUUGUUUUCUAUACGCGUAAAAUUUUACAGCUCUUCUGUCCGUUUUCUAGAUCAAAACUUACUAUGAAAGUAAACCAUCGACCUUCAAUAUACAGAUGUAACAUGUAAAUCUUGCUUCAUUUUUCUGUAAUAAAUUAUAAAUUUAUGAUAAAUGAAUAUAUACUUUGGUAAGAGAUUAAUCGUCAGUUGGUUAUCUUGUUCAUAUUUCCGUUAUUUUUUAUCCGAAUGAUAUAAAUUGUAUAUUCACUAUACGUUAUCACUUUGAAAUAAAACUAACGUUAAACUUCCCUAUUUAUAUUACUAUUCAUAAAUUGGUCAACUCAGGAGGAAUAAUUUCGGGGAAAUCUUUCUAUCCAUCAAAAAUAUUUGUUUGUGUGGGUUGGUGUGUGUGUGUGUGUGUGUUUGUCGGGAAGGAUUAAUACGUUUUCGUGUAAUUGUUCACGGAUACAAUGCAUAUGCCCAAAUUAUAAAGUGAUUUUUUGAGGAAAAUCAAAUAUUUGUUGAGAUGAUGAAAUUGAGUU
rnacentral:lncRNA from 1 species